CUCCAUUUAGUCACAGCAGUUAGCUAACCAUGUAGCUGUUGAUAACAUAGCACGGUUUCGGAGCCCCUCAGCCCUCGGGAGGUCUGGGAUUUCUCUGCGCAGCGUGGGCCUGCAGGAGGAACGGAUCCCGGCUGGGAGAGCCAGACCAAUUACAUUGUUGGGAUGGAUGCAGUGCUACGUGAGAAUUGCUCUUAUUAGCAGCCAGUGGGAUAGAAGUUUUGCAGGAGGGCAUUUUCUGCAGCGGUGAGCUGCUAGCCAGAUAUCUAGGUCAGGCACCGAAAGCCGUAGACCGAAAUCAAGGCAACCGCUCCGCACACCUUUCCUUCAUGAGAGUUACAGAGACUACCAAAAUCCUCCACACCUGAAAAAGUACCAGGAGAUCACUGUGAACUGUGCGUGUCACUUUGACAAGCCCUGCUUACAAGAAUAGGAGGACAACUACACAAUUUGCACACCCUGUUCAGCCAAGGGGCAUGUGGGCAUCUUAGACAUAUCCCAGCAGUGCCAGUCUCCUUUAGAAAUCCCUGCAGCUGGCACAGCACUUAGCAUCCAGCCAUGGACUUAUCACCACAUUGAUGUUCCAGCAGCCACCAAGAAGCACAGCCACAGUAUUUUCAAACACAGCACGUGGAUCAUGGCAUUAUCCCACCCCGCAGGCUGCACACAUACUUACAGCUAAAGCAAGUAGAUCAGCCUGGAGGCUUUGGGGAUGGGUUGUAAAUUGUUGUGAAAUUUGUUUGUCUGGAGGAAACAAAUUGCGAUAGGGAAAAACUGUUUUGGGCACGCUGAUAUUUUCAAGUAACCCAUCGGUACAGGGCAAGAUUUGUUCUGGACUUCUAGG
ensembl:lncRNA